rnacentral:tRNA from 1 species
GCUGAUGUGGCUCAAUUGGCAGAGCACCUGAUUUGUAAUCAGGGGGUUGGGGGUUCGAUUCCCUCCAUCAGCA